rnacentral:rRNA from 1 species
AUUGAACGCUGGCGGCAGGCCUAACACAUGCAAGUCGAGCGGAUGAAGGGAGCUUGCUCCUGGAUUCAGCGGCGGACGGGUGAGUAAUGCCUAGGAAUCUGCCUGGUAGUGGGGGAUAACGUCCGGAAACGGGCGCUAAUACCGCAUACGUCCUGAGGGAGAAAGUGGGGGAUCUUCGGACCUCACGCUAUCAGAUGAGCCUAGGUCGGAUUAGCUAGUUGGUGGGGUAAAGGCCUACCAAGGCGACGAUCCGUAACUGGUCUGAGAGGAUGAUCAGUCACACUGGAACUGAAACACGGUCCGGACUCCUACGGGAGGCAGCAGUGGGGAAUAUUGGACAAAGGGCGAAAGCCUGAUCCAGCCAUGCCGCGUGUGUGAAGAAGGUCUUCGGAUUGGAAAGCACUUUAAGUUGGGAGGAAGGGCAGUAAGUUAAUACCUUGCUGUUUUGACGUUACCAACAGAAUAAGCACCGGCUAACUUCGUG